CUUAUUUCAUUUCUUAAAACCUGCGGUACUGAUUCUUGUUUAAUCAUUUCUGUAUAAUUUUCUUGAUAUUUUCACUAAAACUCAAUAUUGUAAUAUAAAAUCACUAUCAAACAUAAUUAUUGUUCCGGGGUAUUUCCUCUCUUGCAAAAAACGUGCUACUCUAUUACAUAAAAACAUAUAACAUAUAAGAAAAAGUUAAUUUUCAUUCAUAAUUUUUUAUUUUAUAUAUGUGUUUACUGCACCUGAAAGUCCAUUAUCACUAUCAUUUCCCAAAAGCGGAGCAUGAAGCUCAACGCGAAUUGACAGUUGUUUGUGAUGUCUGUUAGUGUUAGUACAAUUCAGGCAAUUUUUCCUCUCAUGCAUUAGUAUGUGUGGUAUUGACGUUUGUUUGUUUUGGAGUCAAUUCAGAAGUCGCAAGUGAUAUGGAUGCCGAAAUUUUUAUUUCGCUGCUAUGGAACAAGUUAAGUGAUGAACCUUUCUGAUCAAAGCGAAGCAAUGGUCACAGGCGCACGAGGGCAUCAUGGAGUAUAUUGCCAUGGAUUGUGUUAUUAACGACAACUUCCCUUAUUCGAAAUCAGUAUUGAUCGAGAUCAAGGAUGUGAAAUAAAUUUCCAACUGGUUCAUCAAGGGCAAAAUUUUGAGCGACUUCAUCGAGCUGAAUGUGAAGUUCGUCCUGACCCGGAACACGAUCGACGAUGAGGUGUCCGCAACUCGACUCGAGGAACUCCGACACAAAAGUAUCGGUUCAGAUAGAGCGAAAUCACCCAGUUGUUGGCAUUUCUGAUUCGUCAUUCAUCGCCCAGGAUCCGCUUAUUAACAGCUGUGCGUUGAAGCGAAAUGCGUUCGAGAAGCUGUCCUUGCUCCAGGAGUACGUGCACUAGGAAUUGCGACAUAUGUAUGCUGAGCGCCUUUCUGGACGAAGAGAUAGUGAGAUAGUGUUUGAAGGAAAAUUACUAUGUAAUUUUAAUCGUAAGAAUAAUUACUGCAAUGGUGGAAUAAAAUAGACAGUCUAGAAUGGAUGAAUAAGCAUAUACUCUCUCGUAGGUAAAUUCUAAGGAUAAUCACAGGAACUGAACACAUAUCACAUAUAAUUAAGUACCCCCCCCCUUGUUACGAAAUGAUAUAAUUAUUGGUUCAUCAAAUUUUACACUUUUUUCUAACCGUGUUUCUGAGACUGUUGAAAAAAUAUGUGGCAACAGAGCGUGUGAAAUAAAUCAUGCUAGUUGUGUAUGUUUGGAAAUAAAAGAACUUAGCGUGUGGAUAAGUACACCGCAACU